UACGAAGGGGGCUAGCGUUGCUCGGAAUCACUGGGCGUAAAGGGUGCGUAGGCGGGUCUUUUAAGUCAGGGGUGAAAUCCUGGAGCUCAACUCCAGAACUGCCUUUGAUACUGAAGAUCUUGAGUUCGGGAGAGGUGAGUGGAACUGCGAGUGUAGAGGUGAAAUUCGUAGAUAUUCGGAAGAACACCAGUGGCGAAGGCGGCUCACUGGUCCGGUACUGACGCUGAGGUGCGAAAGCGUGGGGAGCAAACAGG
rnacentral:rRNA from 1 species